rnacentral:rRNA from 1 species
UUUGACGUUAGCUGCAGAAGAAGCACCGGCUAACUCCGUGCCAGCAGCCGCGGUAAUACGGAGGGUGCGAGCGUUAAUCGGAAUUACUGGGCGUAAAGCGCAUGCAGGUGGUUUGUUAAGUCAGAUGUGAAAGCCCGGGGCUCAACCUCGGAAUUGCAUUUGAAACUGGCAGACUAGAGUACUGUAGAGGGGGGUAGAAUUUCAGGUGUAGCGGUGAAAUGCGUAGAGAUCUGAAGGAAUACCGGUGGCGAAGGCGGCCCCCUGGACAGAUACUGACACUCAGAUGCGAAAGCGUGGGGAGCAAACAGGAUUAGAUACCCUGGUAGUCCACGCCGUAAACGAUGUCUACUUGGAGGUUGUGGCCUUGAGCCGUGGCUUUCGGAGCUAACGCGUUAAGUAGACCGCCUGGGGAGUACGGUCGCAAGAUUAAAACUCAAAUGAAUUGACGGGGGCCCGCACAAGCGGUGGAGCAUGUGGUUUAAUUCGAUGCAACGCGAAGAACCUUACCUACUCUUGACAUCCAGAGAACUUUUCAGAGAUGAAUUGGUGCCUUCGGGAACUCUGAGACAGGUGCUGCAUGGCUGUCGUCAGCUCGUGUUGUGAAAUGUUGGGUUAAGUCCCGCAACGAGCGCAACCCUUAUCCUUGUUUGCCAGCGAGUAAUGUCGGGAACUCCAGGGAGACUGCCGGUGAUAAACCGGAGGAAGGUGGGGACGACGUCAAGUCAUCAUGGCCCUUACGAGUAGGGCUACACACGUGCUACAAUGGCGCAUACAGAGGGCGGCCAACUUGCGAAAGUGAGCGAAUCCCAAAAAGUGCGUCGUAGUCCGGAUUGGAGUCUGCAACUCGACUCCAUGAAGUCGGAAUCGCUAGUAAUCGUAGAUCAGAAUGCUACGGUGAAUACGUUCCCGGGCCUUGUACACACCGCCCGUCACACCAUGGGAGUGGGCUGCAAAAGAAGUGGGUAGUUUAACCUUCGGGGGGACGCUCACCACUUUGUGGUUCAUGACUGGGGUGAAGUCGUAACAAGGUAGCGCUAGGGGAACCUGGCGCUGGAUCACCUCCUUAUACGAUGAU